rnacentral:rRNA from 1 species
UAGAUACCCUGGUAGUCCUGGCAGUAAACGGUGCACGCUUGGUAUGGGGGGAAUCGACCCCUCCCGUGCCGGAGCUAACGCGUUAAGCGUGCCGCCUGGGAAGUACGGUCGCAAGAUUAAAACUCAAAGAAAUUGACGGGGACCCGCACAAGCGGUGGAGUAUGUGGCUUAAUUCGAUGCAACGCGAAGAACCUUACCUGGGCUUGACAUGCAUCUCUCAAACGGUGAAAGCCGUGGAUAGGAGCAAUCC